GGCAUUCCCAAGGGAAUAUUCCCUGGAAUACCACAAGCCCCGAGCAGAACAUCACGAGGUCACUCCACAAACCCGCCAACACGGUGCUGCUGUGCAGGCCUUCUCCACCCACAGAGCAAACAACAAUCAAGGAACAACAGGGCCCUUGUUCCACCCCCCCCCUUCAAACCCACUGUCCAACGGGUCCUUCUAACAGCUACGGGCUCAUCCUGCUUCUGCUCCUCCCCUCGGGGCACAGGAGCAGCCUGGCCCCGUGCUGGGAGCAGUUCCUGCCAUUGAGGUCGAGCCUUUGAUGUGGGGCUUUGAGCUGGGCUGGUCCCUGCAGGGCAGGCAGGAUCCUCAUGGAUCCUUCUGGAGCAGUUUUGGGGCCAACAUCUUGUUUUGCUCCACACACAGACACCCUGUGGGCUGGUGGUGACACCGGGAGCCCUUCACCUGCUCACCCUGACCCCUUAGCCCAGCCCUUCCAGGUGAUGUCCCACUGGGAGCCCCAGGCACAACACCUCAAACUGGCACAGACAGCCCAUCGUCCCAGCAAAGGUGUCCCCUGGCACUGGCACCACCAGGGUUGGGACCUGGAAAAUCUUUUUCUUCACACGGACCUGGGGGGGUCCCCGUGGGGAGCAGCACAGGGUCCAUCCCUGUGGGAUUCCUCCCCCCUCCCUCUGCCCCACUCCUGCCCAUGACCUGAGAGGACAAAGCCAGCAGCGACCUCUGCUCCCGUUGCACGAGGACAGGUCACCUGCCCACAUCUGAACAGAAACACACGGAAACAACUCCCUGGCAGGGAGGAGCAGCUUCCUCCCAGCCUGCUCAGGAGCAGCUCUCUUCCCAGCCUGCCCCAGCUCCUGGAUUUGGGAGCCGAGCGUGGGACAGGUGGUUGACGCACACCUGAGACUGCGAGAACUUUCACCGCCUGUAAUAAACCACCCGCGUCCAACCCACAACAA